rnacentral:lncRNA from 1 species
UUAUUAUUAUUAUUAUGGCGGAUUUUCUCCUUCUCCCUUAGCUCCUCCAUUCAUCUCAAACAGUCUCUUUGUUCAUUUACGGAUUGUGUACCAUAGCCCUUCACAUGAAUAGGUAAACACGAUCAUACUUGAAGACCAAAUAAGAUAUCAUUCGGUGAUCUUCCAUCUGCCUUUGGAGUGUUUGAAAUUCAAUUAUUCCAUCAUGUCAAUUACAUUGUGGAAAAUGGGGUAAAGAAGGUCCCCAUAUUACUCCCCACAUCUUCAAGAAUGUCUUAAAUUCCCUGGAACUCAACUCAUGGCCUUGAUUUGUUCUUAUUUUCAAUGGAAUCCCGGUUUCAGAAAAUAUUUUGCUUAAUGCCACUAUUACUUCUCACGAAGAAGGAACUCUUUUGAAUUCUUCUUCAUAUGUAUAUCCUGAAAAACAAUCUCCAUAUACCAAUUAAUUUUUUCCUCCAUACUCAAACAAAUCUACAGACGUGCUCUCAAAUGGCCUCAUUGGUAUCGGAUCCCUCAUCAUCGUUUCUUCUGGUAGACUAGGCCGAGAAAUCGUCUAUCUAGCUCUUCUUUUCGUCUUCUCGAUACCUUGAUGUGAACUGUGCAACAAUCCCUGAAGAAAUUGAUUCUCUUUUGGAAUUACCAGCCUAUUACCAUACAAAACAAGACUAUUUUUAGUAUUUAAAUCCUUUAAUAUCUUGGAAAAUGGUUGUACUGAAUCGUUUAUACAAUUGUCUUCAACUGCAUUGACAAAAUCUUUGAUCAAUGUUUGAUCUUUCAUUACCUCUUUUCUAAUAUCUUCUACUAAUGGAUCAAUGAAUUUUUCUUCAUCGUCUAAAUCUGUAGUUCUAAUAGUUCAGUACCUCUAAUCUAAUAACCUGUCCUCUGUGAUAUUCAACAUCUCUAUCCAACUCUUCAUCUUCCUGGGGAUGAGACACCGGUGAUCUCGAUAAUGCAUCUGCACUUGAUAAAAAUCGGGAGCCACAUUGAACUAAUUUCCAUUCUUCUUUGUGCUUUUGACAUGAUACAUAUCUCAAUGCAUCAGUUUCAAGUUUGGUUUCUAAUCUUGGAUCGAACGGUGCUAAUGUUAGUGGGGAAGCUAAAACUUAUUUAAUUUCCUUCAUUGAUAAAGAAUGAUUUUUGGUCUACACAUACUCUACUUUUGACGAUAAAAGGUCUCUCAGAGGACCUAUAACUUCACUAAUUCUUGAUGAUGGCUCUGCAAAAUCUUUAAUAGCAUUCAAUUUACUUGGACCCGCUUCAAUAACCUUCUUGGAUAAAAUAUAUCCACAAUAUUUUAAUUUAGGAUUCUACAGGUCUUUGAAAUUGUGUGAUACAGUGAGAAUGUCAUCUACGACUUUGUAAGUGUUUGAUAAACCUUCCAAUGCCUCAUCUCCACGAAGAGAAUAUGCGUCCCCCGUUGCUAUGAAUCCCAUCGGAGCUCUAUUAAAAAAAGUUCUACCCGAAGGAGCCAUAAAACACGUCAAUUCUCUUAUUUUUUCUUCCAGUUACAUCUGCCAAUAUCCCUGUUUUGCAUCGAAUGUUGUAAAAAAACUCAAUGUUCGUUGGAAUACUUGGUAUUAUAUCCCAAGGUGUUCUCAUGGGAUUGAUUGCCCUCUUAACUUGGGCAUUCAAUUUCUUAAUAUCCCCACAUACUCUCACUUUUAAACUAGGUUUGGGUACAACUACUAAUGGAUUGCACCAAUCUACUGUUCUAUCACCGAGUUUACUUUUUUUUUUAAUUCUUUCCAUUUUGUUAAUUUUUUUAUUCACUUCUUAUCUAUAGGUCAAUGGUAUAUUCCUUGCAGUAUGAAUUGUGUAUAGUUAAUAAUCUUCUUUCAGACUUUUCUUCAUUGGUGUCCCCUCCAUAAUCUUCAAUUCUUCCUCAUCUCAAAAAUAAUCUCCAAAUUAUUCCAUCAAUUAUUUUAUUUUAAUGUCUAUAUCUUCUUUCUUCACAAGUUGGACCACCGUAGCUACACCCAUUUGUUUAUGAAAUCCUUUGAAAUGAUUUGCAGUUCUCUAAGUACUCGUCUAGACAAGAAUAUAUCAGGAAUACUUCGA